UACGUAGGGGGCAAGCGUUGUCCGGAAUCAUUGGGCGUAAGAGCGUGUAGGCGGCCCGGUAAGUCCGCUGUGAAAGUCGGGGGCUCAACCCUCGAAUGCCGGUGGAUACUGUCGGGCUAGAGUGCGGAAGAGGCGAGUGGAAUUCCUGGUGUAGCGGUGAAAUGCGCAGAUAUCAGGAGGAACACCAAUUGCGAAGGCAGCUCGCUGGGACGUA
rnacentral:rRNA from 1 species